rnacentral:rRNA from 1 species
AGAGUUUGAUCAUGGCUCAGAUUGAACGCUGGCGGCAUGCCUUACACAUGCAAGUCGAACGGCAGCACGGGAGCUUGCUCCUGGUGGCGAGUGGCGAACGGGUGAGUAAAGCAUCGGAACGUACCUUGUCGAGGGGGAUAACGCAGCGAAAGUUGUGCUAAUACCGCAUACGUCCUGAGGGAGAAAGCGGGGGACCGCAAGGCCUCGCGCGAUGAGAGCGGCCGAUGUCAGAUUAGCUAGUUGGUGAGGUAAAGGCUCACCAAGGCGACGAUCUGUAGCGGGUCUGAGAGGAUGAUCCGCCACACUGGGACUGAGACACGGCCCAGACUCCUACGGGAGGCAGCAGUGGGGAAUUUUGGACAAUGGGGGAAACCCUGAUCCAGCCAUGCCGCGUGAGUGAAGAAGGCCUUCGGGUUGUAAAGCUCUUUCGGCCGGGAAAAAAUUGCACGGAUGAACAGUCUGUGUAGAUGAUGGUACCGGACUAAGAAGCACCGGCUAACUACGUGCCAGCAGCCGCGGUAAUACGUAGGGUGCGAGCGUUAAUCGGAAUUACUGGGCGUAAAGCGUGCGCAGGCGGUUUUGUAAGACAGGCGUGAAAU